GCAGGGAAUCUUGCGCAAUGGGCGAAAGCCUGACGCAGCGACGCCGCGUGGGGGAUGAAGGCCUUCGGGUUGUAAACCCCUUUUCUAGGGGAAGAGUAAGGACGGUACCUUAGGAAUAAGCCCCGGCUAACUACGUGCCAGCAGCCGCGGUAAUACGUAGGGGGCAAGCGUUGUCCGGAUUUACUGGGCGUAAAGGGCGAGUAGGCGGUUCAGUAACUCUUCGGUGAAAUCUCCUGGCUUAACUAGGAGGGGUCCGGGGAAAGUGCUGGACUAGAGGGGCGCAGAGGAGAGCGGAAUUCCCGGUGUAGCGGUGAUAUGCGUAGAUAUCGGGAGGAACACCAGUGGCGAAGGCGGCUCUCUGGGCGUCUCCUGACGCUGAGGCGCGAAAGCACGGGGAGCAAACAGG
rnacentral:rRNA from 1 species